AGUAUAAUUGCUGGGUCAUAUGGUAAUUCUAAGUUUAUCUUUUGAGGAACUGACAAACUGUUUUCCAAAGUGGCUGCACUAUUUUACAUUCCCAUUGGCAAU
rnacentral:pre_miRNA from 1 species